UAGGGCUUUACCACCCACCCUGCAUGUGCCUGAUCACCUCUGAUCUCGGAGGCUAAGCAGGGUCAGGCCUGGUUGGUACUUGGAUGGAAGAAAAGCUGAGAGAGGCCACCCACAAGGUCAAGGCCUUGC
rnacentral:rRNA from 1 species